rnacentral:rRNA from 10 species
UUUCCGUAGGUGAACUGCGGAAGGAUCAUUA